GAGGUGCUAGAGCCCCUGUUGGUGGGCGAGGUGCAGGUACUGGAGGUAGGGGAGAGGGGAGCACGAGGGUUCCAGAGACUGCGGAGACUUCAGCACCACCGGCGUUGCCGACGCUGAAGUGGACUAUAGGCGUGACGAGUUCGUCGGGCGCACGGGAGGUGAUCGACGUGCCACAUCUCCCACAGCCGCCGAUGCGGUUUCCUGCUCAAGUGCCGCGAGAGUGGGCUGAGCAGGCCGUGAUGCUGAUGGUGGGGAUGCGCCACCUCUUGAAGGACUGCGCUAAGGGGAGAGCCCUUCAGACGAGACCUGCCCCUGUGACUGCUUCUCUUGUUGCCACUCAGGUGCAGCCACGACGUUCAGCUAGGACGCGUUCGCAAGGCACCACGAGCCCUCCC